rnacentral:lncRNA from 1 species
GUAAGAACUCGAAAGUUGCAAUAUGCAAAGUAGUCCUUUGACCUGAGGCAUCAUAGAUGUCUAAUGGUUAGGUCUUUGAUCUUUGAUCAUGUUAAUGGCAUUCCAUCGGAGUGUCCACAGCAUUGUUAGGGUCAAGCUAUCUAGUCGUGUAGGCAUAUGAAUGCACAACAAGGGAUCUCUAACCUUCCAUGAUGGAAGGAGAAUACUCUAAGAUAUGAUUCUAAAGUCUUUGGCCAAAGCAAAUGAAUAUG